GAUCUUUUAGUAUAUUUUUGUAUUUUUGACUUCCAAUCAGAUAGUUUUAAAGGUUA
rnacentral:tRNA from 1 species